CCUACGGGAGGCUGCAGUAGGGAAUAUUGCUCAAUGGGGGAAACCCUGAAGCAGCAAAGUCGCGUGGAGGAUGAAGGUUCUCGGAUUGUAAACUCCUUUUGUUAGAGGAGAUAAUGACGGUAUCUAACGAAUAAGCACCGGCUAACUCCGUGCCAGCAGCGGCGGUAAUACGGAAGGUGCAACCGUUACUCGGAAUCACUGGGCGUAAAGAGCGCGUAGGCGGGUUAGCAAGUCAGAUGUUAAAUCCUAUGGCUUAACCAGAGAACUGCAUUUGAAACUGUUAUUCUAGAGUAUGGGAGAGGUAGAUGGAAUUCUUGGUGUAGGGGUAAAAUCCGUAGAGAUCAAGAGGAAUACUCAUUGCGAAGGCGAUCUGCUAGAGCAUAACUGACGCUGAGGCGCGAAAGCGUUGGGAGCAAACAGGAUUAGAUACCCCUGUAGUC
rnacentral:rRNA from 1 species